rfam:Culex flavivirus strain CxFV-Mex07, complete genome
CCCCAGUCCAAUAGGUCAUGGAAUGGCCCCGUGGUGCUGAAAGGGCA